rnacentral:tRNA from 2 species
GUAGUUUAGUGGUAAAACUACAGCCUUCCAAGCUGUUGUCGCGAGUUCGAUUCUCGUCACCC